GGAACAUUUCUGUUCCACACUUCACACUGAAACCUCCAAUCGCUCUGGUCUAACGGAAGAACAAGAUACAAGAUAGAAGCCAAAAUGAGGAUUUUGGUGCAUUUAUCGAUAGUAUUAGUGCUGAUAACUGUGAUGUAUCAGUUCGUUCAUUGCGGCGGUAGAAAUUCUCAACAAAGAAAACGUUUUCUUUCAAAAGGAAACCUGAAGCACUCGAGAAGAAAUCAAAUAAUCAAGUGUUGUGGAGGUUCGAAAUGUUCGGCAUCUUUUAUGCGUAAACCAAAACGACGUACGAGUGAUUUCAAAACGAACACCACUCAAGAAUAUUUACAAACAGCUGUAACCAAAAUCGACAGCAUCGAUUAUGAAAAUAAGGCCAUCUCUGAGUCUGAUUCAACCCCUUCUGAACCAAACCAAAAUCCCAUUGACACAGAAACAUCUUCCUCUGAUCAAGGCAUCGCGUCCUCUGACACCACCAUCACAACAGCUAAACCAAUAAAUCUCGCUUGCGAACAGUCUCGGUGCGCAAACUUCACCUUCAUCGCAAAUCAGGUUUCAAAUCUUUAAAAAAAUUCAAAGAAGCGUUUAAUCGAAAUAGCACUUCCAUAAUAAAACGUUAUGUAUAUAUCCACA